rnacentral:lncRNA from 1 species
UUUUUUAGAUGAAUAAAUUCUUUAUUACAUCUCAUCAAAUGCGAAAUUAGCAAUCCUGUCCCUCCAUUUUUUCCCCCAGUCAAAUGUUUAAAAACAUUCUUGCAUUUAUUGCAAGUAGCAGUACUUUUUACCCUAUCAUGCUCCAUAAAUUUCCAAACUAAAGACCUUUUAGUACGUUCGGUACCUUUGGCCCUAGUAAAUUUUGGUAAAGAGG